GGUGAGGUAACGGCCCACCAAGGCGACGAUCAGUAGCCGGCCUGAGAGGGUGGACGGCCACAUUGGGACUGAGACACGGCCCAAACUCCUACGGGAGGCAGCAGUGGGGAAUAUUGCACAAUGGGGGAAACCCUGAUGCAGCGACGCCGCGUGAGCGAAGAAGUAUUUCGGUAUGUAAAGCUCUAUCAGCAGGGAAGAAAAUGACGGUACCUGACUAAGAAGCCCCGGCUAACUACGUGCCAGCAGCCGCGGUAAUACGUAGGGGGCAAGCGUUAUCCGGAUUUACUGGGUGUAAAGGGAGCGUAGACGGUGAAGUAAGUCUGGAGUGAAAGGCGGGGGCCCAACCCCCGGACUGCUCUGGAAACUAUUUGACUGGAGUGCAGGAGAGGUAAGCGGAAUUCCUAGUGUAGCGGUGAAAUGCAUAGAUAUCGCGCAGAACUCCGAUUGCGAAGGCAGCAUGCCGGCUCCACACUGACGCUGAGGCACGAAAGCGUGGGUAUCAAACAGGAUUAGAUACCCUGGUAGUCCACGCAGUAAACGAUGAAUGCUGGCUGUCCGGGGGGACUGACCCCUGGGUGGCGAAGCGAAAGCGAUAAGCAUUCCACCUGGGGAGUACGCCGGCAACGGUGAAACUCAAAGGAAUUGACGGGGGCCCGCACAAGCGGAGGAACAUGUGGUUUAAUUCGAUGAUACGCGAGGAACCUUACCCGGGAUUGAAAUGUAGAUGACUGAUGGUGAAAACCGUCUUCCCUUCGGGGCUUCUAUGUAGGUGCUGCAUGGUUGUCGUCAGCUCGUGUCGUGAGAUGUUGGGUUAAGUCCCGCAACGAGCGCAACCCUUAUUGUUAGUUGCUACGCAAGAGCACUCUAGCGAGACUGCCGUUGACAAAACGGAGGAAGGUGGGG
rnacentral:rRNA from 1 species